AGAGUUUGAUCCUGGCUCAGAGCGAACGCUGGCGGCACGCCUAACACAUGCAAGUCGAGCGAGAAAGUGACUUCGGUUGCGAGUAAAGCGGCGAACGGGUGAGUACAACGUGGGAUAAUCUACCCAAGGGGUNCCGGGGAUUAACCCCGAGAAAAAUCGGGUGCUAAAUACCCGGGAUUAAGACCCACGGGUAUUCCAUGGAUUACAGGGGUUAAAACGAUUUAUUCGCCCCUCGGAAUGAAGUUCCACGUUCCCAUUCAGGGUUAGUUGGGUAAAGGGUAAAGGCUUUACCCAAAGCCCUAAACGGGGUUAGCCGGGCCCUUUACCGGGGUGAACCGGGCCACAUUUGGNGGGACUGAGACACGGCCCCUGACUCCUACGGGGAGGGCAGCAGGUUGGGGGAACUAUUGGGCAAUGGGGGCGAAAGCUGACCCAGCGAUGCCGCGGUGAGGGAUGAAGGCCUUCGGGUCGUAAACCUCUGUCAGGAGGGACGAUUGGGACUUUGUCUUGACGGUACCUCCAGAGGAAGCCCCGGCUAACUCCGUGCCAGCAGCCGCGGUAAUACGGAGUGGGGCAAGCGUUGCUCGGAAUUACUGGGCGUAAAGUGGUCCGCAGGCUGUCGUGGUAAGUUGGAUGUGAAAGCUCAAGGCUUAACCUUGGAAUUGCAUCCAAAUACUGCCUGACUAGAGUCCAAGAGAGGUUGGCGGAAUUCCCGGUGUAGCGGUGAAAUGCAUAGAUAUCGGGAGGAACACCAGAGGCGAAGGCGGCCAACUGGCUUGGUACUGACGCUCAGGACGAAAGCGUGGGUAGCAAACCGGAUUAGAUACCCGGGUAGUCCACGCCCUAAACGAUGGAUGCUAAGUAGGGGGAAGUUGCUUCUCCCUGCCGUAGUUAACGCAUUAAGCAUCCCGCCUGGGGAGUACGGUCGCAAGGCUGAAACUCAAAGGAAUUGGCGGGGGCCCGCACAAGCGGUGGAGCACGUGGUUUAAUUCGAUGCUAAGCGAAAACCUUACCAAGACUUGACAUGUUAGCUUAAGCCCGUGUGAAAGCAUGCAUGUGGUUGGUUCCCGGGUUUUCCCGGAGCAGUUAUCACAGGUCGCCUGCAUGCAGUCGUCAGCUCGUGGCCGUGAGGUGAUCCGGCUAAGUCCGGUAACGAGCGCAACCCCUAUCCUUAGUCGCCAUCACUCUCCGGGUGGGCACCUCUGAAGAGACUCGCGCAGCGACAAGCCGGAGGAAGGUGGGGACGACGUCAAGUCAUCANGGCCCCACGUCUUGGGCUACACACGUGCNACAAUGGCUGGAACAAUGGGCAUGCGAACUCGACGAGAGAGAGCCAAUCCCAUCAAAGCCAGUCUCAGUGUCAGACUUGCAGGCUGCAACGUCGCCUGCACUGAAGUUGGAAGUCGCUAGUAAUCGUGGAUCAGCAUUGCCACGGUGAAACGUUCCCGGGCCUUGCACACACCGCCCGUCACACCACGAAAGUCGGUUCUGCCCGAAGUAGCUGUGCUAACCUUCGGGAGGCAAGUUCCUAAGUAGGGCUGGUAAUUGGGGUGAAGUCGUAACAAGUAGCCC
rnacentral:rRNA from 1 species